AUUGAACGCUGGCGGCAUGCUUUACACAUGCAAGUCGAACGGUAACAGGCCGCAAGGUGCUGACGAGUGGCGAACGGGUGAGUAAUGCAUCGGAACGUGCCCAGUCGUGGGGGAUAACGCAGCGAAAGCUGCGCUAAUACCGCAUACGAUCUAUGGAUGAAAGCGGGGGACCGUAAGGCCUCGCGCGAUUGGAGCGGCCGAUGUCAGAUUAGGUAGUUGGUGGGGUAAAGGCUCACCAAGCCGACGAUCUGUAGCUGGUCUGAGAGGACGACCAGCCACACUGGGACUGAGACACGGCCCAGACUCCUACGGGAGGCAGCAGUGGGGAAUUUUGGACAAUGGGCACAAGCCUGAUCCAGCAAUGCCGCGUGCAGGAAGAAGGCCUUCGGGUUGUAAACUGCUUUUGUACGGAACGAAAAGGCUCUGGUUAAUACCUGGGGCUCAUGACGGUACCGUAAGAAUAAGCACCGGCUAACUACGUGCCAGCCGCCGCGAUAA
rnacentral:rRNA from 1 species